rnacentral:rRNA from 1 species
UACGUAGGGUGCAAGCGUUAAUCGGAAUUACUGGGCGUAAAGCGUGCGCAGGCGGUUUUUGUAAGUCUGUCGUGAAAUCCCCGGGCUCAACUGGGAAUUGCGAUGGAGACUGCAAGGCUAGAAUCUGGCAGAGGGGGGUAGAAUUCCACGUGUAGCAGUGAAAUGCGUAGAGAUGUGGAGGAACACCGAUGGCGAAGGACAGCCCCCUGGGUCAAGAUUGACGCUCAUGCA